rnacentral:hammerhead_ribozyme from 1 species
AUCCAACUGAUGAGCCCUGAAUAGGACGAAACGCGUGUCCUGAAU